ensembl:snRNA U6 U6 spliceosomal RNA
GUGCUCGCUUCGGCAGCACAUAUACCAAAAUUAGGACGAUACAGAUAUCAGCAUGGCUCCUGCCAAGAAUGACAUGCAAAUUUGUGAAGCAUUCCAUAUUUUA